GAUUUAUUUCAACUUCCGGUGUAAAUUAUAAUCAAUCGCUCCUUCCUUCCGCACUGAUAUUCAGCAGCACUCAUCGCAUGGCAGCUGAACCUUCAUCAUCAUCGCCGUCAUCGGCUGUCACCUCCGACACAAACACCAUUCAUCCGCCUUCUUCCCCCGUUCGCGAUGCUUCCCCUUCUCCUUUCUCUGUCAUCGAUUUUCUCUCUAUCUGUCACCACCUCAAGACAACAAAGAGAACAGGAUGGGUGAGAAGGGACGUUAAGAAUCCAGAAUCUAUAGCGGAUCAUAUGUAUCGAAUGAGUUUGAUGGCUCUGAUUGCACCAGAUGUUCCCGGUUUAGACCGAAACAAGUGCAUAAAAAUGGCUAUUGUUCAUGACAUUGCAGAAGCAAUGAUAGGGGACAUAACCCCCAUGGAUGGAAUUUCAAAAGCAGAAAAGAGUCAACGAGAACAAGCAGCACUUGAGUAUAUGUGCAAAAUAAUUGGAGAAGGAUCAAGAGGAAAGGAAAUAACUGAGUUGUGGACAGACUAUGAAGCAAAUUCUUCUCCAGAAGCAAAAUUUGUCAAGGACCUUGACAAGGUAGAGAUGAUACUUCAAGCCCUGGAAUAUGAAGACGAGCAAGGAAAGGAUUUGGAUGAAUUUUUCCAGUCAACUGCCGGUUAUUGGUAGCCAGCCUCCUUGUAUGCAAAUCUGCACUUGAAAGUAUGAUUCACUUGGUUAUGAUCUGAAGCUGAGAAGUGGUACUUUGGCUGAAUAUGGGAAGUUCCAAACUGAAAUUGGCAAAGCUUGGGCAUCAGAGAUUGUAUCGAGAAGGAAUAAAAACUAAAUCCCCUUGUCAUUCUGACUCAACUCUAGAGUGUAUGGAUCACCGUCUUGAGAGGAAAGUAUAAAGGGUAAGAGGAUUCCUUUAUAAGUUUGUAUCUUAAGUUCAUUGGUUCUUCCUUAUGAGUGAGAACACUAUAUGGUGGAGGCAUGUUAAUGACACUGUAAGCUGUACAUACCAUUAAAAUAGGUGUGCAUGAAGCAGCAUUGAGUCGAUGAUUUUGCUGAAUUAUAUUGUAUUAAAUAUUAAUAUGCUUUUAAGCUUGUUCAACCUUGUCUCGUAUUCAUUAAAUCUCAUUGAUAUGAGAGGACUGAAACUAUUGAACUUUCAAAAGAUGCUUUCAUUAGUUCCAUGUA